rnacentral:misc_RNA from 1 species
AGGCACCAUUCCGGCGGCAAAGGUGUUCGUGAUGGGCGUCGGCGUCGCCGGCCUGCAGGCGAUCGCGACCGCGCGGCGUCUCGGCGCCGUCGUCACCGCCACCGACGUGCGGCCGGCGGUGAAAGAGCAGGUCGAAAGCCUCGGCGCCAAAUUCCUCGCGGUCGAGGACGAGGAAUUCAAGCAGGCGGAAACCGCGGGCGGCUACGCCAAGGAAAUGUCGAAGGAGUACCAGGCCAAGCAGGCAGCGCUCACCGCCGA